GACGAACGCUGGCGGCGUGCUUAACACAUGCAAGUCGAACGGAAAGGCCCUGCUUUUGUGGGGUGCUCGAGUGGCGAACGGGUGAGUAACACGUGAGUAACCUGCCUUUGACUUUGGGAUAACUUCAGGAAACUGGGUCUAAUACCGGAUAUGAGCUCCUUCUGCAUGGUGGGUGGUGGAAAGUUUCGGCGGUUGGGGAUGGACUCGCGGCUUAUCAGCUUGUUGGUGGGGUAGUGGCUUACCAAGGCUUUGACGGGUAGCCGGCCUGAGAGGGUGACCGGCCACAUUGGGACUGAGAUACGGCCCAGACUCCUACGGGAGGCAGCAGUGGGGAAUAUUGCACAAUGGGCGGAAGCCUGAUGCAGCAACGCCGCGUGCGGGAUGACGGCCUUCGGGUUGUAACCCGCUUUCGCCUGUGACGAAGCGUGAGUGACGGUAAUGGGUAAAGAAGCACCGGCUAACUACGUG
rnacentral:rRNA from 1 species